UAAGACGGAGGGCGCGAGCGUUGUUCGGAAUCACUGGGCGUAAAGCGCGCGCAGGCGGGCCGUGCAAGUCGGAAGUGAAAUCCCGGGGCUCAACUCCGAGACUGCUUCCGAAACUGCGGGUCUGGAGACCGGUAGAGGUGGGUGGAAUUCCCGGUGUAGCGGUGGAAUGCGUAGAGAUCGGGAAGAACACCUGUGGCGAAGGCGGCCCACUGGGCCGGUUCUGACGCUGAGGCGCGAAAGCGUGGGGAGCAAACAGGA
rnacentral:rRNA from 1 species